UGCGUAGGUGGUUUCUUAAGUCAGAGGUGAAAGGCUACAGCUCAACCGUAGUAAGCCUUUGAAACUGGGGAACUUGAGUGCAGGAGAGGAGAGUGGAAUUCCUAGUGUAGCGGUGAAAUGCGUAGAUAUUAGGAGGAACACCAGUUGCGAAGGCGGCUCUCUGGACUGUAACUGACACUGAGGCACGAAAGCGUGGGGAGCAAACA
rnacentral:rRNA from 1 species